rnacentral:lncRNA from 1 species
GUGGUCACAGACUGUUUCUUGUUUAACGGCAUGGUGGUAACCUUAAUAAUUCCUUCCUGUGUGUACUGCGUUAUGGCCACUCUGUAAACCCGUAUUCUCUCCAGAACUAAUCUCCUGUGUAUUAUGUUUCUUUAUUCUUAGUACUUCCAGUGUCUAUACCCAAAUUACAAAUCCCCUCUAUUCUGAAAGACCAAAGAAAAUUUUAGCAGAUCUGAACUGGGAGUUCUGAGUUUUGUCUUUGGAAUUAGGGUGAUUUUUUUUUUCUUUUUUAAUGAAAUGAAGGUAAGAAUAAUUUUAACAAAGGAAAAAAAGAAAGUUUCAUAUGUCUCUGGUGUAAUUUAAUAAUAUCCAAUUUACAAAAGCAGGAGGUAGAUUUAGCUUUAGUAUAAAGACCCUAGCUGUUCAAAAGUAGCUCAAAAUGUAGUAAGUUGCUUGUCACUAAGCAAGUAAUCAACAACUAUAAGGUAGAUGGUUGAGUCAUGUACCCUCAUGGAGGAUACAUCAACUUCUAAUUCAUGUAGAAUUUCCAGCAGAGAAUACAUCUCAGUAGUCACUGAAGCAUUUAAUUAGACAUUCUAGUACCUAUCAGAAUCCAAAGAGUACAGUUGAAUUAUAUAUAUUAUACAUGUUCUAAUAAAUUCUCUUUUGAAUCAUUCAGUUCCUGAGAAGAUUAUGUGUUCAGCUGAACUGCAGGAGAAACUUAGUUUUUACUGAUUUCCCUAGGGGUUGGUUUUUUGUUUGCUCUCUAGAAUAAAUUGAUCCCACUGCUGUACAUCAAAUACUCAAGCGUUAGCACAAAAGACAUUCACCCUCAAAACAUUCAGAUUUAAUGUCAACGUAUUACGCAUUCACUGAUAUUUUUUAAAAUGUCAGUCUCUGUAUUAUCUUGCUUUAGUCUUUAUUGCAUUAUCAAGACACCUGCAUGCUAUGAAUGUUUUAAGCAGCUUUUACCAAGAAAGUCACGUUAGAUUUUAUGAGUAGUCUCCUUUUCGUGUGCUGUCAUGAGUAUAUUGUUUGUACAAAUGUUAACUUUUGACUGUAUUAUUUCUUUUGAACACAGAAAGCUGUUCAGGGGAAAUUGCCUAUGUUUACUUUCUUGCAUAUUCAUAUUUGGUAGCUCUUUACCAUACUGUUACUGCCUAUUUAGGUUUACUAGUAUUUUAAAUCAGUUAAUGUUAAAUACCGAAAGAUACUUGGUAUAUAUUAAUCGUGAAAAUUUGAUGAAGGGCAAUUUAAGGCCGCAUUUUAAGUCACUAUAUGUAAAUUUAAACACCCACGUGUUACCGCAGGAUCUCUUUAUCAAAAUUUCAGUUGAAAGCACCCGUUACCUUUCAGAUUGC